CCGCACAUCCAAUUUAAAAUUAAAAAAAAUACAGUUUUUAUAUUUUAGAGCAUAUAUGUAGUGUCCGAAUAGAUGAGCAGAACAAGUGCAGAUCUCCUGCACAUGCAGUUUUCCUGCACUGCAUUCACCAUUCACCAUUUUCUGUUUGCAAAAGCAGUUCAAGCGGGAAAUCUGCAUGCAGUUCAAUAUUUUCUGUCUUUUUGUAGAAAAAGCAGAAGAUCUGCAUGCAGAUCUCACCCGCCAACAUUUGGUGGUGUUGAUCUGCUUUUUUUUUGGUUAAUAAAUAACUUUGUUACAACACAUAACUUUAAAAAUAUAUUUAUCUAGUUUUAUGAAUACAAUAUUUUUAUUUUAUUUUAUUUACAACUUUAACAAUACAAAAUUAUCAUUCUCUACUUAUUAUUUUUUGUCAUAUAAUUCUUAAUUUUUAUAAAUAAGAAAAUAAAAGAAGUAUAAGUAUCUUAAAAAAUAUUUACAGGUAUUUCGGCCGAUCAUAUAACAUCUAAGAUAUUUGUUUAGAUAUCUAAGUGUCAUUUUUAUUGUUUUAAUAUCUCAUCUUUUUUUUUUUUUUUUUUGUAACAUUUUUAAUAUCUCAUCUAUUGUUUUGAACUGCUUUGUCAUUCAUAAGUUAUACUAAAUUAUUUGAUCUGGUUCUCUCCUGCAUGAUCCACUUGAUCUGCACUUGUCAUGCUUGAUCUGCAUGAUCUGCACUUAUCCUGCUUGAUCUACAUGAUCUGCUUGAUCUGUCCUGUUUGAACUGCUUUUACCAUUCGAAGCCGUAGUUUUUUUAUAGAUGUACACAUACCUUUGUAGUACGAAAUCAGAUGAACAACCGUUUAUGAAAUCAGAUUUUAAGAUGAAAAAUACAAAAUAUUGUUUCUGUUUUAAAUAAAUAAGUUUUUUGUUUAAUGUAACUCUUUAUCGAGCCGCACAAUCCCAUUGUUAACAAGUCGUAUCGUCAUUGAUUUGCUCUUUCGUAAUCAUAAUACUUUCGUUUCCCAAUCCAACUUAUUGCACCGCCAAUCUCUUUGAUACUCUAGAAGACCGAAACAAUCUAUAAUAUAAUGAGACAGUUGAGUCAUUUCCAAAACAACACGUCAGCAUUUUGGUUGAUCUCACUUUUAAAUAAUGUGAAAAAGUAUCAGGCAUAUGGCUCAAACUCGGGUUAUUAAGAUAUAAACAUCAACAUUUAUACCAUUAAACUAAAAGAUAUUUUGUACAUUGAUGGCUGAAAGUAAUAUAUAUAUAUGAAGGUCGGAAACCUUUGCUUAUUCGGUUUUCUUUAUGGGUCGGACCUACAAGUGUAUUAUGAGUUUCAUUUUUAAGUGAUCACGUUAUAUGAAAAAAAAACAAUUAUAGUUUUUCCAUAUUGUAAAAUAUCUUCGUUUAACAUGAGUUAUGGUUUUUUUCAUCAUUAUCUUAGACAAGUUUGAGUUACAAACUUGUUUUGUGUGUUUGUUCGUAGUCUAUUUUUCACCGGUGAACUCUUCAUCUCGCCAUCUUAAAUCGCUUGAUCUUAAAUGUUCCUGAUUUGUAGCCUUUCUGUAAACCAUAUAUAUAUGAUUCUCAUCUUUGAUGAACCAAAUCUGCAUCUCCACAAAAUUCAUUGAUUCCUCUUAGAUUUAACGAUAUUCUAGAAAAUGUCUCUCUACCUCUCUAGUUCCUCAAACCGGCGUUCCCGGCAUCCAUCACUCAACAUUCGAGUCUCUCCGUGUUGGUCGUAGUAGUCAGAGCAUAGCCCUAAUCUCUUCGCUUAUGGGAUUUCCUGAACUUCAAGAAAGACAAUGAGUUUAUGGGAAUCACGGUUCUCUUCCUUGAUGAAAAGGUAAGUUAAUCUUCGAUUUAUCACACGUAUUUAAUAUAAUUGUUUUUAAUUGAUUUCCUAAUUCUUUGUUAAAUAAUAUUAUUUGUAGAUUCCGUGAUUUAUGGGUUUAUUCCCGCCGGACGUGGUAAUCAUUACAUGUCAUCUUUGAAAGCUGGUUCCAUUGUGAAAGUCGAUCAUUUUGAGGUUGCUAGGUUCUCAAGUAUAUACAAGAUAAUUGAUCAUCUAUUCCUCAUUCGUUUCAUCUCACCAACUAUUAUUGAUGAAGUCAUCACGGGUGCUCCUGAGAUCAAUCUCCAAUCAUAAUUAGACUGUUUGACAAUUUUCAAGUGAUUGCGAACAAAAACCUAGAACUCCCAGAUGUGGCUGGAAAAAUCCAUUAUGUCCAAGGCUCUGACCUUAGAAAAAAACAACUCGAGUCAUUAUCCGUCUUUUCAUUGAUCCGUAAUAAAUAAUCAACACACCUCGCAGCGGCACCGUUUACGUUGUCGGCGACUCCAUAUAUUUCAGAUGCGCGAAGCUUCCCGUCAGUUGCCAAGCGAACCGUUGCAGAUGGGCAUCUCCUCGGAAAAGCUACUCUAUAAAUGGUUUUGGUGGUUACACAGUGGAUCAGUAAUGGUACAAAAAAAACAUUUUUGUUCUACAAGCUAUGGUUUUGGUGGUUACACAGUGGAUAUACGUUUGUUAGGUUAAUAUUAUUAAUUUAGUUUUUUGUUUGUUUACAGAUUUUACCACCGGUUGUAUAAGAAGGCAAAUUAAUAUUAUUAUAUAAAAGAUGCACGGAAUAUCAGUGUAUUAAGAUAUUUAUACGUAAAUUUGUUUGAUGGUUACAUGCCAAUUUCCCUAAUGAUAAUAGAAAAAAAAACGUGUUUGUUGCAUCAUAUGACUUUAAUCAAGAGAGUUUGGAAAAAUUUAUAUGUGAAAUAAAAAAUGGAUGAUAUAUAAAGUAGAAUAAAACUAAAAUUAUUAAUUGAAUUGUAAAUUCCACUCUUUCUAUUUAUUUAUCGACGUUUAAAAUUUGAAAAAUGAAAAACUGCAAAUAAUAUAUUUUUCGAAAAUAAAAUAUGUGAAUUUGUAGUAAAAAAGUUUCAUUUUAACUGAAAUCUGUUUAAUGAAAUCAUAUAAAAUGAUACAUUUAAAAUCAAUUUGUCCCACAGGAAACAUUCAAACCGAAUCCAAAUUGAAUCCGGAUAUCUUAAUUUUUAGGUUCGGAUAUUCGGAUCCAUUUUUUAAAACACAUUAAAUUUUUUAUAUUUCAUUAAUAUUUAUAUUUUAUAUAAUAAUAUUUAUACAUAAAUUAAUUUUAUAAUAUUAUAUUUUAGUUUUUACAAUAUUAUAGACACACACACAUAUAUAUAUAUAUAGAUAUAUUUAUAAAUCUUGUAUAAAUAUUUAAUUAAGUAUUAUUUUUAAAAUUUUAGUAGUUUUUUUUUUAAAUAAUUAUUUAAAAUUAUUUUUGUGGAUCCGAAUCUGUAACUGGAUAUUCGCGAAUAAUAGAAUAUAGAGGAUAUCCACGAAUAAUAGAAUAUAGAGACGGAUAUCCGGAUGCGUCCAAGAUCUAGUAGCAAUAGACUAU